rnacentral:tRNA from 1 species
GAGGGUAUAGCUCAAGCAGUGGAACACAUGCUUAGCACGUAUGAGGUCCUGGGUUCAAUCCCAGGUACCUCCA